GCUGUCAAUCCCACCCACUCCUCUUUCCCUUCUGCCCUACAAUUGUCGAGCAAAGAAAGCCUGGGUUCUCUCUCAUUUGCUACCUGUAGGAAGUUGAAACCAGAUAGCUGUUUCUGUUGCUUGCAACCAAAUACCCUGAUUGUUGAAAAGCCAACAAUUCAAAACUCCAAAAUCUACUGUAGACUGGAGCUCUUCCUGGGGACUCUUCUGUUCCUCAACAGGCUCUGAAAGCUUCCUGGUCAUUUUGAAGUUGGAAGACUCAAUUUUGAACCACUCUCAGGCAGAAGAGAAGAGUCACUAUCCAUUGUGAUCAAAAGAAUACCUGCCGGCAGAUGAGCCACAUGCCUCAGCAGUCCAGACUUCCGUGGCGACCUCCACGGGCAAGCCUAUGCACUGGGUGCCCAGCAUGCCCUCAGGAGUGGCUGAGGCUACUGGCUGUCACAGGGCAAGGUUGUGGGAAGCCUGAAGCUGGUGGGAGGGGCACACGCAGGUGGUUCUGAGCUGAGCCUGAGUGAGUGCUACAUGAAGUAUUGUAUUUAUGUUAAAACCCACUGUUCUUAGACACUGGGCUCUGAGUCUCUCAGAAGUAGAUUUAUCCUAAGAGAUAUGUAAAUCUAUAUGAACUCCAACCUAUAUUUUUAAAUAAAAUCAAUAUGAUUCCCCUUGUAUAUUUUACUACUUUCUUUCUAAUUUGUGUCAAUGCUGCACUGAUCAAUAAAUUACAAAUUCUUACACAGAAA
rnacentral:lncRNA from 1 species